rnacentral:rRNA from 1 species
CGUUAUCCGGAAUUAUUGGGCGUAAAGGGUGCGUAGAUGGCCUGAUAAGUUAGCAGUGGGAAAUCGAGGCUCAACCUCGUGGAAGCUGGUAAUACUGUCAGGCUCGAGUGCAGGAGAGGUUAACGGAACUCCAUGUGGAGCGGUAAAAUGUGUAGAUAUAUGGAAGAACACCAAUAACGGCGAAGGCAGUUAACUAUUCUGUUACUGACAUUGAGGCACGAAAGCGUGGGGAGCAAAACGG